rnacentral:rRNA from 1 species
CCCUUAGACGUUCUGGGCCGCACGCGCGCUACACUGACCAGUGCAACAAGCAUCCGUCCUUGGCCGACAGGCUCGGGCAAUCUUUGAACGCUGGUCGUGAUGGGGAUAGACUUUUGCAAUUUUUGGUCUUCAACGAGGAAUUCCUAGUAAACGCAAGUCAUCAACUUGCAUUGAUUACGUCCCUGCCCUUUGUACACACCGCCCGUCGCACCUACCGAUUGAAAGGUCCGGUGAAGCCUCCGGAUUGGCGCGCACCUCGGUGCCGCCGAGAAGUUGGCUAAACCUUACCAUUUAGAGGAAGGUGAAGUCGUAACA